GAUGAAGAACGCAGCGAAAUGCGAUAAGUAAUGUGAAUUGCAGAAUUCCGUGAAUCAUCGAAUCUUUGAACGCACAUUGCGCCCCCUGGCAUUCCGGGGGGCAUGCCUGUCCGAGCGUCAUUUCUGCCCUCAAGCACGGCUUGUGUGUUGGGUGUGGUCCCCCCGGGGACCUGCCCGAAAGGCAGCGGCGACGUCCGUCUGGUCCUCGAGCGUAUGGGGCUCUGUCACUCGCUCGGGAAGGACCUGCGGGGGUUGGUCACCACUAUAUUUUACCACGGUUGACCUCGGAUCAGGUAGGAGUUACCCGCUGAACUUAAGCAUAUCAAUAAGCGGAGG
rnacentral:misc_RNA from 1 species